UACAGAGGGGGCAAGCGUUGUUCGGAAUUACUGGGCGUAAAGGGCGCGUAGGCGGCCUGUUAAGUCGAACGUGAAAUCCCCGGGCUCAACCCGGGAACUGCGUCCGAUACUGGCAGGCUUGAAUCCGGGAGAGGGAUGCGGAAUUCCAGGUGUAGCGGUGAAAUGCGUAGAUAUUCGCAAGAACACCAGUGGCGAAGGCGGCUCACUGGCCCGGUACUGACGCUGAGGUGCGAAAGCGUGGGGAGCAAACAGG
rnacentral:rRNA from 1 species